GGUGGUUCUCAGGUGACACAGCCCGGGAUCAGGCUCCCUCCUCUCUGGUUCUGGGUGCAUCCCUGAGAACUGCA
rfam:Myotis brandtii contig317090, whole genome shotgun sequence.